CUCUAAUGUCUCUAAGAGGUGAGAGUUAGCUCUUUACAAACUUUCUCUAAUAGAAAGAACGAAAACGAAAACCCUAUUUUCUCCCAUAUUCCACCUGAUGGCCUCUAACGCUGUCUCUUUUUCUAUGGCAGUCACUCCAUCAGGACCAAAAAGAAAUCUCCGUUGCUGGUCCGAGCUUCCUCGAGAUCUCAUGCGAUCGAUCUUCGAGCGCCUUGGAUAGUUGGAUUUGCUGAUUUCGAACGAGCUAAAUCCGUUUAUCAUUGCUUGCGUCAGUUUUGGUCGUGUGAUAGAGAAGCUUGGUCAACAUUGGCCGCACAAA
rnacentral:lncRNA from 1 species